AGCUACUAAAUUCGUUCAUCUUCUCCAAGUUGAUCAAGGCAUGCAAAAUUUUUCAAACCAUCAUAAUUUCUUCGUCUCUCAACCGAUUCUAGUGAUUUUUGCGGCAAAGAAACGAGAAAAUGACCCUCUACUGAUUUAUGGCUUCAAUUUGAGGUAAGAAACUCAAGUUGAAGUUAGGGUUUAUGAGCUUUAAUGGCUGUUUUGGUGUUCUUGAAUGAUGAUGAUGAUUUUGAUGCCAAAAUCUUUAAGACCUUCUAAAUUCUUCGUUUGAUAUCGGAAUUGUGUGAUUCUUGCGGCAACAGAAAGAGAAAAUUUGAUCUAACCUAAUAUCUCAAGACGUAUUGACGGAGCUCGAGAUUGACGAUAUCGGUUAAGCGGGAUUCGGCCAAUGCAUUAAUAUUGUGAUUAUUGGAUAGUAUGUUGUACCUCGGUUAGCAUCUGCAGUAGUUGGUUGUCAGUCGUUGCCGUUACAACAUAGAGUCAUAUGGUUUUGUUUAUACUUGUUGUUAUGUUUAUAGUUUUUGCUGGUUGCGUCGGAUAUAGUUUUGUGUCACAGGGCUAGUUAGCCAUCAUGUGACGUAAAUAUACUAGUUAUGAUUAUAUAUAGUCGGGCUAGUACAUACGUGGUACGGAAGUGAAAUGCCCUCAUGUUUUGUAUCG